CCUAGUAAGAAAUGACAGCAACUUCAUGACUCAAACCACCCCUGGAAAAUAAAGGAUCUCGGGGCAUGGAUGAACAGUAAGUUAUCUUGAUAGAAUAUGAAAUCCUGUCCAUUACUUUGAAACAACGAGAGUGUUCAAAGCAGGCCCUAGCCACUUGGAUGCCACAGCCGGGACCACGGUUCCGCUCUGCAGGUUUCGGAACUGAGGCCGUGAUCAAGAGGGACAGCAGGGGCAUUCCUAUUGCACUGCCAGAGGUGAGAUUCUGGGACUAGCGCAAGAAGGACCACAGCAAAAGCAUUUGCCAAGGAUGUUUUCAUUAAUCAAG
rfam:Sus scrofa breed Duroc isolate TJ Tabasco Contig1914_1, whole genome shotgun sequence.